UUCACGAAAACUUUUCUAACGGUACAAUUCGUGGCUCUCUUCUGGUUAUAGUUUCUUCUUGAGAAUUUCUUCGCUCUCUUCCCACUCCCGAGCCACUUCCGACUUCGAUUUAAGUUUUCGAUUCGAAAUCUUCAGAGUUCACUGAUUUUAAACAAUCGGGGGUUCAAUGUCGCCGCCGUCUGAUCUUGAUUCUUUAGGACUUCCUCAUUCCCACGAUAUUCGAACGCCAAGGAAACCGUCUGGUAAAACUGGUUAAAUCUGUGGAAUUGAACACCGUUUUUCCGCCGUUUUGCUUCCAAUCCUCGUCGGUCGGAUCGGAAAUUGCCGACGAAAGUGUGUUCUCGGAUCCAGUGAUGGAGCCCGAUCUCGUGUGCGACGGUGGUUGYCUAUGGUGGCUGUGUCGCCGGCGGUGUCGAAGACUGAGCAUUUUAUGGCUGCAGCGAAGGAAUCUUUGGGUUUAGAAAUCGGAUUUGAUGGAGAUGAUUUCGGCCGCAACUUCAGUGACCAAUUCGCGGAUUUGGAACGGGGAUUGGGAUAUCAUAUCAAGGCCGUGUGGGGACCAUAAAGGAAUAAGGUGGCGAGAUUACAAGCUUCGAGAGAUGCUUUAUGCACUACUUGAUUGAGGAACAUAGAUGAUUAAGAAGGGAUUCUCCUACCGACAGCUUCAUUCAAGGGAGUUUGUGGAACAUGUUGCCAGCAACUAUAAAAACUCAAAUCCACUGUACAAUGGGUUUCUCUCUCAGGGAGUUUGUGGAACAUGUUGCCAGCAACUAUACAAACUCAAAUCCACUGUACAAUGGGUUUCUCUCUCAGGUGGUUGAGAAGGGACUUUGAACCUCUCCACUGAUGAGUAUUGGUUGAGAAGUAAUGUUGUUUUGAGCUGAUGCUUAUGUUUUGAUGGAAAAUAAUUGCAAGUUUUUUGAACGUAAUUUUUACAUGUAUUUGCUCACCUAAAACUUGAGGAAUUUCAAGGAUGGGGUUGUUGCUCAAGAUAGCUUCUGCUGAUGUGCCUCAUCAUUUAAACUCGUCGAUCAUCUAGUAAUGUUUUCUUGAUACACUUAACUACUUGUAUUUUCUAUGAUAGUUAUGAAGAUUGUGUUUGCUUUAAGUUUGAUUGCUUUGUUUUCAUAUAAGUGACAUUGUUGUUGUUGUCUUCAACUGUUUGACACUUGAAAUAGGUUUUUCUCGUGUGCAGAUAAUUGAUCGCCUGGUAAUGUUUUCUUGACAUACUUUACUUGUAUUUCACAAUGCAUUAAUUCUCAUUUAUUGACAUUUUUACAAUGCUCAUUUGCUCACCUAGGAAUUGAGGAAUUUCUAGGAUAGGAUUGUUGUCUUCAGCUAUUGACACUCAAGAUAGCUUCUACUAAUAUGCCUCAUCAUUUGAACUAGCCGAUUUUCUGGUAAUGUUUUAUUGAUAUACUUGAUUCUUUGUAUUGGUAGGUUGUGAAAUUGUGUAUGCUUUAAGUUUGAUUGCUUUGUUCUCAUGUAAGUAACAAUUGUUGUGUUUCAGCUUUUAAAAUAGCUUUUGCAUAUGCUUCAUCAAUUGAACCAAUUGAUCAUCUGGUAAUGUUUUCUUGGAAUACUUGACUCGUACUUCAAAAUGCAUUAAUCCUUACAUUUAUGGCAUUUUCAUUAUGUUCAUUUGUCGACCUAGGAGUCGAGGAAUUUAUAGGAUAGGUUUUGAGAUUGUACUUGCUUGAAGGUUGAUUGUCUACUACACUUUGGUCUUAUGUAAUAGGGCCAUUAACACUCAAGAUAGUUCUUGCUUAUAUGUCUCAUUAUUUGAAUUGUUUGUUCGUCUGGUAAUGUUUUGUUGAAAUAUUCGAUUACUUGUAUUUCACGAUGCUCAUUCUUUGACCUAGUGACUGAUGAGGAUGAUUUUGUUAGGUUGUGUUCGCAAGUUUAUUGUCUACUA